rnacentral:antisense_RNA from 1 species
ACCGACUCUUGGAAAGAAGAGGUGGGCCUGGGAGAUCCAGGUUGGAAGGAUCUUGUUUCGCUCUCCCAUUGGCCCCCAACACUGGCCUCAUGGCCCCCUUACUGGCUCCAGGCAUCCGCCUCACCCCCACCACCCAGCCAGCUGGGCCUGUUCCCCUCUCCACUCCCCUCUGCUCCCUCCCUGUAACCUCCCGUCUCCCGCAGAAAGAAAGAAAGAAAAAAAAAGCUUGGAUUAAGUGAUGAGCUGCCCGCCUCUAAAAGGACCAGGAGGCGUAUCAAGCCUGAGUGCCGGAAAACCCACGGCAAUCUUCAGCAGCCACCACGUGGGGCAGAGAACGCGAGCAGUACCUGCAGGACCCACAGCCGGUCGGGCUCUGGCGCCAGCCUCGACGGCGGCCCCGCCAUCUCCGCCCGGCUGCCCGCGGCCUCACCUGCUCCGGGGGCUCGGUUAGCCUCCUGGCGCUGCAAGGCGGCCUGCGCGCGGUUCGCUCCGGGGGAGGGAGGAGGAGGGAGGCGGCGAGGAGCCGACGGCUCCACCUGAUGGAGAAGCGCGGAGAGUCCCUAGACCUCGGAGUGCGCUGCAAGAGGGGAGAGGAGAGAGACCGCCGCCCCUGCUGGAAGCCUUCGCGUCCGGGGGGCGGCGCGCGGGGGACGGGGUCUCUGGACAGUCGGUGGAGGCAGCAGCCCUACAGAGACAGCCGAAAGCCAGCAACUUGGAAAACCGCCCGAAUUCUGGUUUUCUGCACAUCCAGGCUGGCUCCAGGUCUCUUGUGCCCACCGUGCAAGCCGGUGGGAUGCCAGCAGGUGGCAUCCUCUCCAGCGUUUCUUCGCCAGGCGUGGAGUCCGGAGGCCGAAUCCAUCAGUCCCCAGCCCCCUCCCCAAGCCUCCGGUGCCAAGUGCUGGGUCCUGUGAGCCCCUGGCCCCGCCCCCCACCUCCGCCAGCGGGGCGAGCCGGAGCUGGAUGGCCCAGACCCGCGCGGAGGCGGGAGCCUACAGAGGAUGCCGGCCGGCCCCAGGUUCUGCUGCUGGCUGGCCAAGAAGUGACAGGAGGGCAAGGCUCCCCCGGAAAGCGUCCAAGCCCUGCUCUCCUGCUCUUCCAAGCCUUGCUGCCUGUUGCCCCCAGGGUUUUCUGAGUUCUGGGACGAAGAGAGUGAUGCGCAAGGUUCUGGGUCCCGGUGCAGGAGUGAGGGGUACGGCUGUCGAGUGCUCGGAGCAGGCUGGCUUUUGGGCACACUGCAGACCUCAGCUCACCGCCACUUUCUCCUGACCUUCCUCGUGGCUGUCAGCCCAAUGUCUAACAUGUGUUAUUCCCUCGCUUUGUUCAAAGGCCUGUUUUGGAUACUUAAAGACAUGUGGAAUGACUAUGAGAAUUCCUGUUCCUGGAAAGUUUGUCCUCUAGUUGGAAAGAGGUAUAUACAGGUGGAUUACGAGACCUUAACCCCUGCUCCCUGCAGUUGGUCUUUCCAUUGUAGAGGGAAAGGGCUCAGAGAACCAGAUAUUCAACUUUCAGAAGCAUCCCCUGAAGGGCAGGUUGUCUGCUCCCCUGAUUCAUUGAGGAUCAGGCCUCAUGGAGGGAGUCUGCCCCAUGAAGGUGGGGACAGCGCCCCUCUAGUUCACAGCCGUCUCCACAGCUCUUACCCAGGUAGGCAGUAGGCUCUCACUACGUACUGCUGAAUGAAUGGUAAAGUUUUACCUAGUGCCCCACAUUCUAUUUCCUGUUUUCUGAAUCCAAUUUAACUUAUUCUUCCCUCUGUUAUUAAACCAUUGUCAAAC